UGUAACCCUGCCAGAAGCUGGAUGACCUUGGAUUCCGGAGCCCAUUUCCAGCCCUGGCCUUGCUGUCUGUCCCCACCAAACCAUGAGCACCCUGAGGGAGGAGGCUGUGGCCGAUUCAUCAGUCUACCACGCAGAAGAUUCUAGAGAGUAUCUGCGGGACAGGGGGACAGUGCUUGAGUCGCUGGAACGAGCCACAUCAAGUAAGAAUACCACAGAUGCCCUGCCAUCAGCCCUUGGCAGGGAGGAACUAGGCACAUCUGGGGAGCCAGAAGGCUUCUUGAGGACCUUGGGACGUUACCCCUCAUGCCCAUUUUACAGAUGGAUACCUGGAGGCUCAGGGAGCAGCAGGGUCCGGGGCCAAAUUCACCCUGCAAUUCCUUUUCCUGACUUGGAUCUCUCUCCUCCCCAAAGGGCGACUGCGGGGCUGAAGGCCAGCGCCCUCCGUAGCUCCCUCCCUCCCUCCUGAGCAGCGCCCCCCCACCCCCCGCAGGGCCAACGAGGUCUCUGCGCGCAGGCGGGAGGUCCCGCGGACGGGGCAGCCAGGGGAGGUUAUUUUCUGUUGUUUUCCCUUUCUCUCUCCCUUCCCUGGUCCCUCCGCCCCGAUUCUAAUUAAAAAGAAGAUAAAGCCUCACGCGGCCAGCGCCAAUCAGCCCGACCAGCUUCCUGGAUGCUGGACGCGCGCGGGGCGGCGGGGCG